AAUGAACGCUGGCGGCGCGCCUAAUACAUGCAAGUCGAGCGAGAAGACGUAGCAAUACGUUUGUAAAGCGGCGAACGGGUGAGGAAUACAUGGGUAACCUACCCUCGAGUGGGGAAUAACUAGCCGAAAGGUUAGCUAAUACCGCGUACGCUCCUUGGACUUCGGUUCAGGGAGGAAAGCGAUACCGUGGGUAUCGCGCUCUUGGUUGGGCUCAUGUCCUAUCAGCUUGUUGGUGAGGAACGGCUCACCAAGGCUUCGACGGGUAGCUGGUCUGAGAGGACGAUCAGCCACACUGGCACUGCGACACGGGCCAGACUCCUACGGGAGGCAGCAGUAAGGAAUAUUGCGCAAUGGGCGAAAGCCUGACGCAGCGACGCCGCGUGGGGGAUGAAGGUCUUCGGAUUGUAAACCCCUUUCGGGAGGGAAGAUGGAACGAGCAAUCGUUCGGACGGUACCUCCAGAAGCAGCCACGGCUAACUUCGUGCCAGCCGCCGCGGUAAUACCUGCCAA
rnacentral:rRNA from 1 species